rnacentral:rRNA from 1 species
UAGGGAAUCUUCCACAAUGGACGCAAGUCUGAUGGAGCAACGCCGCGUGAGUGAAGAAGGUUUUCGGAUCGUAAAGCUCUGUUGUUGGUGAAGAAGGAUAGAGGCAGUAACUGGUCUUUAUUUGACGGUAAUCAACCAGAAAGUCACGGCUAACUACGUGCCAGCAGCCGCGGUAAUACGUAGGUGGCAAGCGUUGUCCGGAUUUAUUGGGCGUAAAGCGAGCGCAGGCGGAAUGAUAAGUCUGAUGUGAAAGCCCACGGCUCAACCGUGGAACUGCAUCGGAAACUGUCAUUCUUGAGUGCAGAAGAGGAGAGUGGAAUUCCAUGUGUAGCGGUGGAAUGCGUAGAUAUAUGGAUGAAACCCAGUGGCGAAGGCGGCUCUCUGGUCUGCAACUGACGCUGAGGCUCGAAAGCAUGGGUAGCGAACAGG